UGUGGAGCUGCGUCCGGGCGAGAGGCGGAAGGUGGGCGUCGGGGGUUGCUCUGGGGCUCCUGGUGCCGGGAAAGAGCCUUCCUCGGGGUGAGGGAAGAGCUUCACCCCUGUUUAGGAGUUUUUAAGGGCAGUACUAAAGCACCACUUUUGGAAACCCAGGUUUGCAGUUGCUUUUAUAUCCGUAGGAAACUGAAAUGCCUGUAAAUUUCCUCUGUUUGUUUGCACAUCCACCGCAUGCGGGCUUCCUCACAAGCACGCAGCGAACCCCCCAAAAACCCAUCCAAGUUAUCAGAAACUCUGUUCCCUUAUUUUAGGUAGCUCUGGGUAACCCUACCAGACCUUAGUGCAGCCUAAAUGAAACCUCACUUUCUGUUCCCUCCUCUAGUCAGUAAUCAGCUGUGAGAGACAGGAACUCCAGGGGAAAGGCCUUCCAACGCAGCACCACUAAAUCUCAAAGUCUGCGAGACAAAGGUCUGAAGACAGACAGAUGCCUGCACAAACAGCAAGUUAAGCUACUGGCAUUGGAAAGAAUUCACUCCAGUUCCAGUCACAGCAGCAGAAGAAGUACACUAUGGCUGGAACAGAAGCAGAGCAGAAGUUCUGGUUACAGAACUGUGAGAUAUCACUUGGAAUUGAAGCCAUAGAGUUUAUGACAUUGGAAGAAACUGCGUGACUGGACCUAGUAAACCAUUUUAUUUUUCCUGAGUCUGGAGCAAGAGAUAGUGCCUAUCUGCUACAGUCACGAACAUGAUAUAUAGAGAUAGGUGUAGAUACAGA
rnacentral:lncRNA from 1 species